rnacentral:rRNA from 1 species
CCCUUAGAUGUUCUGGGCCGCACGCGCGUUACACUGAUGCAUUCAACGAGCUUAUAACCUUGGCCGAGAGGCCUGGGCAAUCUUGUUAACGUGCAUCGUGAUAGGGAUAGAUUAUUGAAAUUAUUAAUCUUGAACGAGGAAUUCCUAGUAAACGCAGAUCAUCAAUCUGCAUUGAUUACGGCCCUGCCCUUUGUACACACCGCCCGUCGCACCUACCGAUUGGAUGGUCCGGUGAAGCCUCGGGAUUGUGGUUCUUGCCGCUUUAUUGUAGCGUGACCGCGAGAACUUGUCUAAACCUUAUCAUCUAGAGGAAGGUGAAGUCGUAACA